rnacentral:misc_RNA from 1 species
GAUGAAGAACGUAGCGAAAUGCGAUACGUAAUGUGAAUUGCAGAAUUCAGUGAAUCAUCGAGUCUUUGAACGCACAUUGCGCCCUCUGGUAUUCCGGAGGGCAUGCCUGUCCGAGCGUCAUUGCUGCCCUCAAGCACGGCUUGUGUGUUGGGCUCCGUCCCCCGAUCCCGGGGGACGGGCCCGAAAGGCAGCGGCGGCACCGCGUCCGGUCCUCGAGCGUAUGGGGCUUUGUCACCCGCUCUGUAGGCCCGGCCGGCGCUUGCCGAUCAACCAAAUUUUUAUCCAGGUUGACCUCGGAUCAGGUGGGAUACCCGCUGAACUUAAGCAUAUCAAUAAGCGGAGGA